AUGUGUGGCAUACGGCUCAGUAACACGUAGUCAACAUGCCCAGGGGACGUGGAUAACCUCGGGAAACUGAGGAUAAACCGCGAUAGGUCAUUACUUCUGGAAUGGGUAAUGACCCAAAUCUAUAUGGCCCCUGGAUUGGACUGCGGCCGAUCAGGCUGUUGGUGAGGUAAUGGCCCACCAAACCUGUAACCGGUACGGGCUCUGAGAGGAGGAGCCCGGAGAUGGGCACUGAGACAAGGGCCCAGGCCCUAUGGGGCGCAGCAGGCGCGAAACCUCUGCAAUAGGCGAAAGCUUGACAGGGUUACUCUGAGUGAUUUCCGUUAAGGAGAUCUUUUGGCACCUCUAAAAAUGGUGCAGAAUAAGGGGUGGGCAAGUCUGGUGUCAGCCGCCGCGGUAAUACCAGCACCCCGAGUGGUCGGGACGUUUAUUGGGCCUAAAGCAUCCGUAGCCGGUUCUACAAGUCUUCCGUUAAAUCCACCUGCUCAACAGAUGGGCUGCGGAGGAUACUAUAGAGCUAGGAGGCGGGAGAGGCAAGCGGUACUCGAUGGGUAGGGGUAAAAUCCGUUGAUCCAUUGAAGACCACCAGUGGCGAAGGCGGCUUGCCAGAACGCGCUCGACGGUGAGGGAUGAAAGCUGGGGGAGCAAACCGGAUUAGAUACCCGGGUAGUCCCAGCUGUAAACGAUGCAGACUCGGUGAUGAGUUGGCUUAUUGCUAAUUCAGUGCCGCAGGGAAGCCGUUAAGUUUGCCGCCUGGGGAGUACGGUCGCAAGACUGAAACUUAAAGGAAUUGGCGGGGGAGCACCACAAGGGGUGAAGCCUGCGGUUCAAUUGGAGUCAACGCCGGG
rnacentral:rRNA from 1 species